rnacentral:lncRNA from 1 species
GAAGAGCAUACAGAAGAAGAUGAUGAUUCUGACUACAUUGUUGACCCAGAAGCUAUUUUAGAUGACUGGGAGGUUGAUAUGAGAGAGUUUCACAGUUGUGUGGAUGAGGUUGAAUGGCUUGGACAAGGUCCAAACAUAGAAUUAGAUUUAAAUCAAGAUGAUGAUUUAGGUGUGAUCAAUAAUGAUGAGUUUGAAAUUUCAGGAUAUGAGGAAGACCUAAGGAAGGGAAUGUUAAAAAACCUGAACAAGAAGGUGCCUUGUUCUUUUGGGGUAGUUCAUGUUACAACAUUUUUUGUGGGUCAAGCUUUUAAAACCAAAAAAGAUAUACAAGGUCACGUGAAGAUGAUUUCAAUAAAAACAAGGAGGGCCCUACACAUGGAAAAAAAUGAAAAAUUGAGAGUAAGAGUCAAGUGUAAAGGGGUGGUUCCUGUAACGCCCGUAGAUCCGGGCUAGUCAAUUUAGAGGCAAUAGGGGUCGAAAACGACUUUCGACAAAAUAUUAUUUAGAAUAAAUAAUUUGAACCAAGUUGUAGUAUAUGUCACAAGGUUUCCAUACAUAUAAAGAACGCCGAAAUCCAAGUUAUAACGAAGAAGUUAUGACCCACCGAAGUUUUACGGCAAAAUCGACAUAACACCGGGAGACGUAAAUAGUGAAUUUACGAUGGAGGACUUUUUAGCCUUAAUGAUCUAAACUAAAGUCUUAGAAUAUGUUAAACCGAGAAAAUCCAUAAAAAGAACGCCCAAAUCUGACUUCGUAUGAAGAAGUUAUGAUUUUUCUAAGAUUCAGCUUAGCAGUGCAUGGCCCGAAACUCGAAUUUUAGUUCGAGCGGUUUUUGGCUUACGCGACCUAAAUGAGAGUUGAAGAUCUCAUUAAUAGGAACUCAACGGUAAAAAGAUAGACGAAAACGGAGUCCGUAUGAAGGAGUUACGAAUUCUUCGCGGUCAUUUAACAGUCUAAACGCCUCCUACUGUUAAAUUUGAGAUCGGUCGAGAAUUAGCCGACGGAGUCUAAAUGAAAGUUGUAGAUCUUGAUUUUACCUACGCGUUGAAAAAAAGAACGUCGAAAACGGAGCUUGUAUGCGAAAGUUAUGAUUUUUCUAAGUUUGAAGGCUGAUACGCGAUAGGGGGCGACGUGGCACCACCAAAAUUGGACACGUGACACCACCAGAAGGCCACCACAUGCAACAACUCGACGAUUAGGUCCCCCUACUCGGUGAGUCCAUCAUAUAUUUUCACUAUAAAUAGAGGUGUCGGGUCUAGCCUCUUCUUCACACCUCCCAAACUCACUUUCUCUCUUUAGUUUCUCUCUCUAGCCUCCCAAACCCCCCCUAAAGCCUAGGUAAACCCCCUAGCACCCGAAGGAAGCCCCGAGGCUCCCGGAGUCCCGAGAAAAGAGCCUUUCGGCUCGGGAACGCUGCUCCAGCGAAGCCCGGUUUUCGAGAAAACCCGCUGUAAGUGAGCUAUGCCUACCCUAUCUUUAGUAUAGCUUAUGUUUUAAUAUAGUAACGUUAUUAUGAACUUAUAAUGAGUAUUUGGGCUAUUAUUAUAAGUUAUAUUGAGUGUUAUUUAACGCUUAUAUAAUAAUAAUAGCUAGACUAUUAAUUUGUCGCGGUUAUCGUUAGACUAAACCCUAGUGGUAUUGGUAUUAGGUUUUAUCGAAGGAAAAUUGUUUUGAGAGUAUCGAAGCGCUGUCCGAGUGCUGAGUCACCACCUUUCAGGUGAGUGCAUGGUCCCCUUCAACUUACACAUAGAUAUGAAGUAUUUACUACGUGCUAUGUGUGCAUAUUGUCUGUUUACUUGUUGUCUAUGCUCGGUGAAAGAUUUUAUACAUGUUUUAAAUGAUUUAAACUAUAUAUGUAUUUUAUAUCUACGAAAAUGUUGGGGUAAAACAUGGGUAGAUAUAAUAGAUGAAAUAUGAGUUGGACGAUGAGUUGAGAGGUGAUAUAGACCAUGAGGUAUGGGUGAGAGGUGUACGAUGUGAGAAGCCUUUUUCCCAAACGAUGUCCCCGUCAUUCAGCAGAGUAUGGAUGACAACCACAGACUAUUCUAGACAGUCCAGUGGAACACUAGCAGGCUCGCAACCUGUAGGUGUUGUGAACGAUGUGUUCACCCGGUGUACUCUAAACCUUGGUGACCAUGCAGACUUGGUGCCUAAACCUUGGUGAUCAUGCAGACUUGAUGCCUAAACUCUGGCGACUAUGCAGACUUAGUGCCUAAACCCUGGCGACUAUGCAGACUUAGUGCCCGUUGUGUAAACCAUGACAACGAUGGACUUCGUGCCGAUUCCUUUGGAUGAUCCUUAGGAACGAAUGAACGAGGAAUAAGUUGAUUCUUAGGGUAGAUCCUUAAGAAUAGAGAAUAUAAUGGGGAUGGGUAAUGGGGUUUAAUUGUUUGAUUGUUUAAACAUAAUAAUUAUAUUAUUGUGGGAUGAAAACGCUGUGUACUCACCAGGUUUUCCAACCUGACCCACUCAGUUUAUUUAUAUCACAGGUGUUGAUAUGAAGUCACAUUACACUGAGAGAUUUAAAGAGAUGUAGAUCACUAGUGUAAAUAAAUGUAAGUUCUGUUUAUGCUUACGUUUCUGUAUUAACGAUGACAUCCCAAACGUUUUAAAAUGAAUAAAAUACGUUUCUUCGAAAAUGUUUUAAUAACGUAUUUAUCAUGUUUUUCUGGGAACAAAUUCCGCAACAUUUCUAUUAAAAGAAGUACUCUGGUUUUUAUAAAGCAUAAACAAAAUCGGUCUUUUCUGGCCGUGAAAAUGGGGAUGUCACAGUUCCAGAUUCCACUAAUGGUGGGCCCUCCACUGUAAGUAAAGCCACAUCGAAGGGCAAAACUGUAAUUUCACAAAAAGAUUCUUGUCCUUUGCUAUUCAGAUAUCUAGAUCUACGGAAGAGGAACAAUGGUUGGUGAAGACAGUUAUUGAUGAGCAUCUAUGCUUACAAAGUAGAAAUGUGAAGGCAUGUACAUCUAGAUAUCUUGAAAGCACUAUUCUCCAAAAAGUGGAUUCCAACCCUCGCAUCCUAGUAACAGCCUUACAAGAAGAGCUUCAAAUGGAUUUGGAAUUAAGCAUAUCAAGAAUGAAGGUGUUCAGAGCUAAAUCAAUUGCAAAGGAACAUAUGUAUGGUGACUACGAAAGGCAAUAUAAUUUGCUGAGAGAUUACUGUUUAGAGUUACAAACCAAUAACCCAGGUACAACAGUGAAGCUAGAAGUGUGUAAUGAACCAAAUCUUGAUGUUCAAACUCGUAUUUUCAAGAGGAUAUACAUUUGUCUUGGAGCACUUAAUUUGGGAUUCAAAUCUGGAAAAAGGUAAUUAUUAGGAUUGGAUGGAUGUUUCUUGAAAGGACCACACCCUGGACAAAUUCUAACAGCUGCAGGUCUUGAUUCCAACAAUGGAAUAUAUCCAUUAGCUUAUAUAGUUGUGGAAGCUGAGACAAAAAGUUCAUGGACAUGGUUCUUAGAAUGCCUUGGUGAUGAUUUGGAUUUGGAUGCAUCAUGCAACUUUACUUUUGUAUCUGACAGACAAAAGGUAUGAAUACAUAUAACAUAAGUAUCUUUUAAAGCUUGUAACAAUACUAACUAUAAAUUACAUUAUAUGUAGGGCAUAAUACCUGCAAUAGCAAAAGUGUUUCCAAAUGCAUAGCAUAGAUGGUGUUUGAGACAUAUACAUGAAAACAUGAAGUUGCAAUGGAGGGGAGAAGAGUUUAGAGAUCACUUAUGGAGGUGUGCUACAAAUACAACCAUUAGGCACUUUGAAAGGACAAUGAAUGAGUUCAAAGAUUUCAGUGCAGAGGCUCAUGAAUGACUAAGUAAGAUUCCUCCAGUUCAUUGGGCUAGGUCCCAUUUCUCAGGUAGAGCCCAUUCAGAUUGUCUUUUAAACAAUUUGUGUGAAGUAUUCAACUCUAAGCUAGAUCAUGGAAGGGAAAAGCCUAUAAUUACAUGUUUAGAGUACAUAAGAGUGUACUUGAUGAAGAGACAUUGCAUUGUACUAAAAGAAAUUGAUAAAUGCAAAAAUCUAUUAACCCCUACUGCAACUACUAUACUUGACACAAUCAAAACAGUUGCAAGCAAAUAUAGGGCACUCUUCUGUGGUUCUGGAAAAUAUCAAGUGACUGGUAUGAUGUUUGAUCAAUAUGUGGUCAACUUGAAAGAGGGUACAUGUAGUUGUAGGUACUGGGAGAUAACAGGGAUAGUCUACAGGCAUGGAGUUUGUGCAAUAUGGGAACAUAUUCAAAAUGGUGAAAAAAUCCAACAGCCUGAAUAUUGGGUGCAUCCUUGUUAUAAGCUAGAAACAUGGAGGGCAAUGUACACUAACAAAAUAGAUCCAAUCAAUGGCAGGAGCAUGUGGCCAAAAUCUAGAUGUCCAACCACUCUUAUACCACCUACACAUCACACACAAGUAAGUUGAAUGUUAGUUAACAUAGUUUCUUAUUCAUCCAGUUUUAAAAUUUCCUUAAUAUUUUUGUAGGUUGGAAGGACCAAGAAAAAGAGGAGGAGGGCUAUAGAUGAGCCUACUAACCAGUCAAAAAACCUAUCUAGGAAAUUCUUGAUUGUUACUUGUUCCAAGUGUCAUAACAAAUGACAUAACUCUAGAACAUUUGUAAGGGGCAAGGGGGGUCAAGUCAGAGAGCAGUGGGUGGAUCAAGUCAAGGUGGUGUGGGUGGAUCAAGUAAAGAUGCAGUUGGUGGAACAAGUCAAGGUUCAGUUGGUGGAUCAAGUGAAGAUGUUAUGGGUGGGUUAAGAGCAAAGAAGAUAGACAAUGGAAAAAAAGACUCAAGUAGGACCUAAGUGAAGUUGGAUACAGAUGAAAGCAUGACUAAUCAAGUUAUUUGGCUACCUUCUGUUUAAGAUUAUAAACUUGUGUUGAUGCUUUUGUUAAAACAUGUUUAAUCUAGAUAAUUACAUCUUUUUGCAACUACCUAAAUUAGUGAUGUAAUUAAGUUGAUACUAGCCAUAUGUCAUGCUACAUUUCUGGUUAUAAUGAUCUCAGUUAUCAUGUNUUGAAGGCUCUAGGAAAUGAUCAAGACGUUAUAUCUAUGACUCAAUUUGUCCCUCAAAACAGAGUGAUUAAUGUGUACGUUGAACAUGGUUCUACAAGACUUCAUACUUACUUCAUGUCCCCAAGUAAAGUUGUUAUUGAGCAACUGGAUGAUGAUCCUUCUCCUGAGCUUAAUAGGAUUAGGCCUAAGAAGAAGGGAAUUGGUUCGUGUAGCAAGAAAUUAGACAUGAAUGUCCCACUUAUAGAAUCAGCUAAUCAAGCUCAGAGAGAAGAUGGUGUGUAUGAUUUUUCCAUGUCCUUAGUUCCUUUUGAGCCAAACAAACAAGACAUGAUUAAUGAGUUUAAGGAUGAUUCGUAUUUCCCUGUACCAGAAGAAACUGAUACAAUGCAAGAAAUUACAGUUGAUAUUAAUUGCCAGAAUCAUAGGGAAAUGCUAGAUGAUUUUGAUCCUUUUAGUAGUGAUGGAUAUCAGAAUAUAGGUGAGUUUGAAAGAGAGGUUGAAGCUGAAGAAGAACAAGAUGAAGAAGAUGAAGAAGGGCAUGCAGAGGUUUCAAAAGAUGAUUCAGAAGAGCAUACAGAAGAAGAUGAUGAUUCUGACUACAUUGUUGACCCAGAAGCUAUUUUAGAUGACUGGGAGGUUGAUAUGAGAGAGUUUCACAGUUGUGUGGAUGAGGUUGAAUGGUUUGGACAAGGUCCAAACAUAGAAUUAGAUUUAAAUCAAGAUGAUGAUUUAGGUGUGAUCAACAAUGAUGAGUUUGAAAGUGCAGGAUAUGAGGAAGACCUAAGGAAGAGAAUGUUAAAAAAACUGAACAAGAAGGUGCCUUGUUCUUCCAGGGUAGUUCAUGUUACACCAUUUUUUGUGGGUCAAGCUUUUAAAACCAAAAAAGAUAUACAAGGUCAC